rnacentral:misc_RNA from 1 species
GAUGAAGAACGUAGCGAAAUGCGAUAAGUAAUGCGAAUUGCAGAAUUCAGUGAAUCAUCGAAUCUUUGAACGCACAUUGCGCCCGCUAGUAUUCUGGCGGGCAUGCCUGUCUGAGCGUCAUUUCAACCCUCGCCCCCGGCUUUUGCUGGGAGCGGUGUUGGGGAUCGGCCGCCCGUCACUGGGAGGCCGGCCCCGAAAUAGAGUGGCGACCACGCCGUGUGCUCCUCUGCGUAGUAGUAAAUCACCUCGCAGGCGGACAGCGGUGCGGCCUGACGUAAAACCCCCAACUCUUUCUGGUUGACCUCAGAUCAGGUAGGAAUACCCGCUGAACUUAAGCAUAUCAAUAAGCGGAGGA